GGUGAACCCGCUUCGGUGGGGGAUCAGUGGCGAACGGGUGAGUAACACGUGGGCAACCUGCCCCCGGCUCUGGGAUAACUCCAAGAAAUUGGGGCUAAUACCGGAUAUGUCCGCUGACCGCAUGGUCUGGUGGUGGAAAGGUUUUUCCGGCUGGGGAUGGGCCCGCGGCCUAUCAGCUUGUUGGUGGGGUAGUGGCCUACCAAGGCGACGACGGGUAGCCGGCCUGAGAGGGUGACCGGCCACACUGGGACUGAGACACGGCCCAGACUCCUACGGGAGGCAGCAGUGGGGAAUAUUGCGCAAUGGGCGGAAGCCUGACGCAGCGACGCCGCGUGGGGGAUGACGGCCUUCGGGUUGUAAACCUCUUUCAGCAGGGACGAAGCCGCGAGGUGACGGUACCUGCAGAAGAAGCACCGGCCAACUACGUGCCAGCAGCCGCGGUAAUACGUAGGGUGCAAGCGUUGUCCGGAAUUAUUGGGCGUAAAGAGCUCGUAGGCGGUUCGUCGCGUCGGCUGUGAAAUCCCGAGGCUCAACCUCGGGUCUGCAGUCGAUACGGGCGGACUGGAGUUCGGCAGGGGAGACUGGAAUUCCUGGUGUAGCGGUGAAAUGCGCAGAUAUCAGGAGGAACACCGGUGGCGAAGGCGGGUCUCUGGGCCGAUACUGACGCU
rnacentral:rRNA from 1 species